AUUGAACGCUGGCGGCAGGCCUAACACAUGCAAGUCGAGCGAGCGGCGGACGGGUGAGUAAUGUCUGGGAAACUGCCUGAUGGAGGGGGAUAACUACUGGAAACGGUAGCUAAUACCGCAUACCAUCAGAUGUGCCCAGAUGGGAUUAGCUAGUGGGUGGGGUAACGGCUCACCUAGGCGACGAUCCCUAGCUGGUCUGAGAGGAUGACCAGCCACCCUGGAACUGAGACACGGUCCAGACUCCACAGGGAGGCAGCAGUGGGGAAUGUUGCACAAGGCGCGCAAGCCUGAUGCAGCCAUGCCGCGUGUGGGAAGAAGGCCAGCGGGUUGUAAAGCACGUUCAGCGGGGAGGCGUUACCCGCAGAAGAAGCACCGGCUAACUCCGUGCCAGCAGCCGCGGUAAUUC
rnacentral:rRNA from 1 species